AUUGGACCUUAGCCAGGAAAGCCACAUUUCCACUGUGAGAAGGUCGGGAUUCAAUCAUCCGCCUUCCUCUUGGAUCUAAACCUUGGCUCUGAGAAUUGAAACCGAUCCGGUUCAGUGCACUGUCCGUGCUCACCCCGGGAUCCCGGACGCCCUCACCUCCUCCAGCCAGUGGCGGCGCUCAGAAGAUGUGGUGGCUCUUGAUAUUGACCGUUAUUCGCCCAGGAAUCUGGAUGACCAUUUUUUCAUCUGGGGAUCCGCAAAGCCCACCGACCAGAUGAUCUCAUGGAUCUUGUACUGGACUCCGGGAUCCACUGCGGCGCUCUACUUGGUGCCCGGGACCGACAGGUUCAUUGGUUCCAAGGACUGGACCAGCAAGAAGUUCUCCCUCACCAUAAAGGACCUACAGCGGGUGGAUUCCGCCAGGUAUUACUGUGGCAGCUCCAACACCUACUUUCCCUACAGCACCGACUGGAGCGGAUGCGGAGUUACGCUCACUGUAGACGCCGCCCCUCCCCAGUCCCCGCCUCAGGUGCACUUCCACCAUCCGAGCCCAGAGGACGUUCUCCAGCAGCAGGACAUUGCUUUGCUCUGCGUAGCCGAGGACUUUUACCCCGAGGCGAUCUCCAUUUCCUGGUCAGUGGACGGAGAGGAGGUGGACGCGGGGGUCUCGCAUUCAGCUUCCCUGUUGGGACCCAACGCCACCUACACCAAGAUUAGCAAGCUGAUGACCACCGCUUCCCAGUGGAUCAAGGGCUCCGUUUACACAUGCCACGUGACUCAUGAAACUCUCCCUUCGCCCGUCUCCAAACACGUCAGUAAUGCCGGACAAUACCCGAUGGCGCCCAUGGUUUAUGUUUUGCCACCGAGCUUCGAGGAGAUGGACAUGAAAGAGCAGGCCACCGUGACCUGCCAGGCGGCUGGCUAUUACCCCGCUGAAAUCUCCUUCAGCUGGUUUGCCGACGGCAAUCCGGUGCUCGCGGGCAUCAAAAGCUCCGUGCCGAUCCUGAACGACAACGGUACCUAUAGUUCCCGAAGCGAAUUGGUGACAUCUACCCAUAAGUGGAAACAAGUCUCCGUCUACUCGUGCGAGGUUCAACACAUCUCACUGCCAGAUGGGCUGGUCCGAAGCAUUAAUAAGACAGAGGCAGAAGAAGAAUACCUGCGGCAGCCAACAAUCACCACGCUCAGAGUGCAGGCGGACCGCUCCGUGCGAGACCAGACGGUGACACUCGUCUGCUACGUGUCCGGCUUCUCCCCGGCCGACAUCUACGUGACCUGGAGGACGGAGAGGGGCGUGCAGGAGAUGGGCUGGGUCACCAACUUCCCCGUGGUGUCGGACUCCAGCGGGACUUACAGCACGGCCAGUCAGAUGACCAUCCCCUUGUCGGAUGUGGACCGCUCGCUCACCUACGUGUGCGUGGUGGGACACAAGUCCCUCUCCUUUCCCAUUGAGGAGUGGUUCCAGAUAAGCUGAGGAUCCCUCAGACAGAGAUUCCAAUUGCCUGGAGUCCCCACCGGCCUGAACCAAUUUAACCGGAGUGAUAUUUGUAUUUGCCUUUGGAUGUAUCUUUACCUUAUUUCGCCACUCAAGAUCUACAUUAAUAAAACUCAUCUGUCCCUUUGUGAUCAAACUCAAUAUUCUGAUAAUUAAAAGCAGGCACGUUUGCUCAAUGAACUACUGGCCUCUGAAAAUAACUCGAGAUGUGGCAAGCUUCAAAUAAAUCAUUAAAAGCC